rfam:Lasallia pustulata genome assembly, contig: scaffold1702_size10311
AACAGGCUAAUGUGCGCAAGAGAGUACAAAUUGAGUGCGCGGUUUGGCACCUCGAUGUCGGCUUAGCUCAUCCACAUGAACGCAGGAAUCAUGAAGGGUUCGACUGUUCGUCGAUUAAAGAGCUACACGAGCUGGGUUCAAUACGUCGUGAGACAGUAU